rnacentral:rRNA from 1 species
GACGAACGCUGGCGGCAUGCCUAAUACAUGCAAGCCGAGCGAACGGAUGAAGUGCUUGCACUUCUGACGUUAGCGGCGAACGGGUGAGUAACACGUAAGGAAUCUACCUAUAAGCGGGGGAUAACAUUCGGAAACGGGUGCUAAUACCGCAUAAUAUCUUCUUCCGCAUGGAAGAAGAUUGAAAGACGGCUCUGCUGUCACUUAUAGAUGACCUUGCGGUGCAUUAGUUAGUUGGUGGGGUAAUGGCCUACCAAGACGAUGAUGCAUAGCCGACCCGAGAGGGUGCUCGGCCACAUUGGGACUGAGACACGGCCCAAACUCCUACGGGAGGCAGCAGUAGGGAAUCUUCCGCAAUGGGCGAAAGCCUGACGGAGCAAUGCCGCGUGAGUGAAGAAGGCCUUCGGGUCGUAAAACUCUGUUAUAAGAGAAGAACAAAUUGUAGAGUAACUGCUACAGUCUUGACGGUAUCUUAUCAGAAAGCCACGGCUAACUACGUGCCAGCAGCCGCCGUAA